rnacentral:rRNA from 1 species
UACGGGGGGGGCAAGCGUUGUUCGGAAUUACUGGGCGUAAAGGGCUCGUAGGCGGCCAACUAAGUCGGAUGUGAAAUCCCCAGGCUUAACCUGGGAACUGCAUCCGAUACUGGAUGGCUUGAAUCCGGGAGAGGGAUGCGGAAUUCCAGGUGUAGCGGUGAAAUGCGUAGAUAUCUGGAGGAACACCGGUGGCGAAGGCGGCAUCCUGGACCGGCAUUGACGCUGAGGAGCGAAAGCGUGGGGAGCGAACAGG